rnacentral:rRNA from 1 species
UAACGGAUCUUCCGCAAUGCGCGAAAGCGUGACGGAGCAAUGCCGCGUGCAGGAUGAAGCCCCUCGGGGUGUAAACUGCUGUCAGGUCUCAGGAAUAAUGACCAGGACCAAAGGAAGGGCCGGCUAACUCUGUGCCAGCAGCCGCGGUAAGACAGAGGGCCCAAGCGUUAAUCGGAAUCACUGGGCUUAAAGCGUGCGCAGGCGGACAUGUAAGUACCUUGUGAAAUCCCACUGCUCAACGGUGGAACUGCAGGGUAUACUGCAUGUCUUGAGGCCAGUAGAGGUUGCCGGAACGGUAGGUGUAGCGGUGAAAUGCGUAGAUAUCUACCGGAACGCCGAAGGUGAAGACAGGCAACUGGGCUGGUUCUGACGCUCAGGCACGAAAGCGUGGGGAGCAAACA